GGCGCGGUAGCUCAGUGGUUAGAGCGGGCGUUUCAUAAGCGCUAGGUCGGGGGUUCAAUCCCCUCCCGCGCCA
rnacentral:tRNA from 2 species